CAGCAGUCGCCGCGGUAAGACAGAGGAUGCAAGCGUUAUCCGGAAUGAUUGGGUGUAAAGCGUCUGUAGGUGGCUUUUCAAGUCCGCCGUCAAAUCCCAAGGCUCAACCCUGGACAGGCGGUGGAAACUACCAAGCUGGAGUACAGUAGGGGCAGAGGGAAUUUCCGGUGGAGUGGUGAAAUGCGUUGAGAUCGGAAAGAACACCAACGGCGAAAGCACUCUGCUAGGCCGACAUUGACACUGAGAGAUGACAGCUAGGGGAGCAAAUGGGAUUAGAUACCCCUGUAGUCCCUGUCUCUUAUAC
rnacentral:rRNA from 1 species